rnacentral:sRNA from 1 species
AACUCAGUCUUGGACACCAAAGUCCUUUAUUUACCCACAGGACAGACAGCAGGGACAACAGCAGUGCAAGCUUUUCCCAUGCUGUCCAUUACCAGUGUGCCUCAACCAUAGCCAAGAGGGAAUACCUCUAAUAGCUGGGAACAGGGCCGGCUCUAGGCACCAGCAAAACAAGCUGGU